rnacentral:rRNA from 1 species
UCCUACGGGGGGCAGCAGUGAGGAAUAUUGGUCAAUGGGAGAGAUCCUGAACCAGCCAAGCCGCGUGAGGGAAGACGGCCCUAUGGGUUGUAAACCUCUUUUGUCGGAGAACAAAACCCGGGACGUGUCCCGGACUGCGUGUAUCCGAAGAAAAAGCAUCGGCUAACUCCGUGCCAGCAGCCGCGGUAAUACGGAGGAUGCGAGCGUUAUCCGGAUUUAUUGGGUUUAAAGGGUGCGUAGGCGGUCCGUUAAGUCAGCGGUAAAAUUGCGGGGCUCAACCCCGUCGAUCCGUUGAAACUGGCAGG